rnacentral:lncRNA from 1 species
GACCACCACAGUGACUUAUAAGUAACUCACUGUACUUUAGUAUCAGACCAUCUGAGUUUCUAACUCAGUGAUGGAAGGUUACUGGGUGCAGUCAAGUACUUAUCAAGUCGAUGUGUAAGUCAAGAUGGAAUUGACCCCUUUGAAUUAGUAGGAGAUAUGCAUCAGUGAAUUUCAAUUUAGUAAAAUCUCGGCUAGGAUAAUCCAUAAGAUGGAUUCGAAAGGUUGAAAUACAAUGUGAUCGACUAAAUUAGGAUUGAUAGUUAAACAUUAAGUCACCUUGAGUAUUUGGGUCAAAAGGAUGAAUUAUAUGAUAACCAUACGUCAGUAGGUUCUAGAAGGUUGCUUUGCAAUACUUCGACCUAUCC